rnacentral:rRNA from 1 species
UACGUAGGGUGCAAGCGUUGUCCGGAAUUAUUGGGCGUAAAGAGCUUGUAGGCGGUUUGUCGCGUCUGCUGUGAAAUUUCGGGGCUCAACCCCGAACUUGCAGUGGGUACGGGCAGACUAGAGCGUGGUAGGGGAGACUGGAAUUCCUGGUGUAGCGGUGAAAUGCGCAGAUAUCAGGAAGAACACCAAUGGCGAAAGCAGCUCUCUGGGACGGUACUGACGCUGAGACGCGAAAGCGUGGGGAGCGAACAGG